UGGGAAUAUUGCACAAUGGGCGCAAGCCUGAUGCAGCCAUGCCGCGUGUGUGAAGAAGGCCUUCGGGUUGUAAAGCACUUUCAGCGAGGAGGAAGGUGGUGAACUUAAUACGUUCAUCAAUUGACGUUACUCGCAGAAGAAGCACCGGCUAACUCCGUGCCAGCAGCCGCGGUAAUACGGAGGGUGCAAGCGUUAAUCGGAAUUACUGGGCGUAAAGCGCACGCAGGCGGUUUGUUAAGUCAGAUGUGAAAUCCCCGGGCUCAACCUGGGAACUGCAUUUGAAACUGGCAAGCUAGAGUCUCGUAGAGGGGGGUAGAAUUCCAGGUGUAGCGGUGAAAUGCGUAGAGAUCUGGAGGAAUACCGGUGGCGAAGGCGGCCCCCUGGACGAAGACUGACGCUCAGGUGCGAAAAGCGUGGGGAGCAAAACAGGAUUAGAUACCCCUGGUAGUCCACGCUGUAAAACGAUGUCGAUUUUGGAGGUUGUGCCCCUUGAGGCGUGGCUUCCGGAGCUAACGCGUUAAAUCGACCG
rnacentral:rRNA from 1 species